GAACUGCGAUAAGUAAUGUGAAUUGCAGAAUUCAGUGAAUCAUCGAGUCUUUGAACGCACAUUGCGCCCCCUGGCAUUCCGGGGGGCAUGCCUGUCCGAGCGUCAUUGCUGCCCUUCAAGCCCGGCUUGUGUGUUGGGUCGUCGUCCCCUCCGGGGGACGGGCCCGAAAGGCAGCGGCGGCACCGCGUCCGGUCCUCGAGCGUAUGGGGCUUUGUCACCCGCUCGAUAAGGACCGGCCGGGCGCCAGUCGGCGUCUCCAACCUUUUUUUCUCAGGUUGACCUCGGAUCAGGUAGGGAUACCCGCUGAACUUAAGC
rnacentral:misc_RNA from 1 species